CCAUUUCAAAAAUGAAAACAUCACAUAUUUUAUGUUAUGUAAAUAUUGUAAAUAUUAUAAUUGAAAUAGGAACUCACCAUACUCCUCUCGAACCGUCACUGACAUGAGACCGAGUUCUCCCAACCGUCGGACCUGUUCCGCCGGAUAAAGCUCCUCCCGGUCGUGGUGUCGCGCUUUGGGGGCCAGUUCCGCAUUGGCGAACUCCCGGCAAGUCUUCUGGAGAAUCUGGUGGGUCUCGGAGAGGGCGGCCAGGCAUGCGAUUCCCCGGUUUCCACCAGCGAUUAUCCUCGCACUCCAUGCGCCGCUCGAGCGUUGACCUGCAAAGACGGAGGCGGCAAAUCGAUCAUCCAGUCAGCCGGGAAUCACCCAGUUCCUCACCCAACGUCCGCGCCACUCUGAUCAGCUGCUGCAUUCCGUCGCCAACUGAUCCCAAGCCCGUGGUGCCGGUUGCGAUCGAGGUAGUGAAAGCUUUUUCGCACUCGUCGACGAGCCGAUCGAAAUACAACCGAGGAAAACAGCUUUUAUACGCAGCUUUUUGAGGCGAAGUUCAUGGGAGGAGAUUGAAAGGGGGUCCCGUUUAUUAAAAACUACU
ensembl:ncRNA asRNA:CR46012 antisense RNA:CR46012